rfam:Helianthus annuus unplaced genomic scaffold HanXRQChr00c1353, whole genome shotgun sequence.
AUCAGAUACCGUUCCUAGUCUCAACCAUAAACCGAUGCGACCAGGAUCAGCGGAUGUUGCUUUUAGGACUCCGCAUGGCACCUGGUUAUGAGAAAUCAAAUUUUUGGUUCCGGGGGGAGAUGGUCGCAAUUCUGAAACUUAAAGGAAUUGCGGAAGAGGCACUACACCAGGAGUGGAGCCUGCGGCUUUAUUUGACUCACACGGGGAAAACUUACCAUGUCCAGACAUAGUUAAGGAUUGACAGACUGAGAAGCUCUUCUUGAUAUCUAUGGUGGUGGUGCGAUGGCCGUGCUUAGUUGGGGGGGGGAUGUGAGCGGAUUUGUCUGCAGUAAUUCCGGUAACGAACGAGACCUCAGCCUGCUAAAACUAGCUAGUGGAGGUAUCCCUCCAGGCCAGCUUCUCUAGAGGGGACUAAUGGCCUUUUAAGGCCACGGAAGUUUUGAAGGCAAUUAAAGGUCUGCUGAUGCCUUAGAUGUUCUGGGCCGCACUGCGCGACUCACUUGAUGUAUUCAACGAGUAUAAGCCUGGCCGACAUGGCCCGCGGAAAUCUUUGAAAAAUUUCAUCGUAUUGGGGAUAGUUCAUUGCAUUGUUGGUCUUUAAACGAGAAUUCCUAGUAAGCGCGCAGUCAUCAGCUCGCGUGACUACGUCCCCUGCCCUAUUGUACACACCGCCGUCGCUUGCCUAAACCUCGCUCUCGAAUGGGUCGGUGAACGUGUUUAGAUCGUGGCGACUUCCGUGGGCGGUUUCGUGCCCGCGACGUUCGCCGAGAAUUCCACUGAAACCUUAUCAUUUGAGGAAAGGAGAAAGUCGUAACAAGGUUUCCGUAGGUGAACCUGCGGAAGGAUCAUUG